rnacentral:rRNA from 1 species
GAUGAACGCUGGCGGUAUGCUUAACACAUGCAAGUCGAACGGUCUCUUCGGAGAUAGUGGCGGACGGGUGAGUAACGCGUGAGAACAUGCCUUUAGAUUGGGGACAACAGUUGGAAACGACUGCUAAUACCGAAUGUGCCUUAGGGUGAAAGAUUUAUUGUCUAAAGAUUGGCUCGCGUCAGAUUAGCUAGUUGGAGUGGUAACGGCACACCAAGGCGACGAUCUGUACUUGGUCUGAGAGGAUGACCAGGCACACUGGAACUGAGACACGGUCCAGACUCCUACGGGAGGCAGCAGUGGGGAAUUUUCCGCAAUGGGCGAAAGCCUGACGGAGCAAUACCGCGUGAGGGAGGACGGCUUUUGGGUUGUAAACCUCUUUUAUCAGGGAAGAAUCGAUGACGGUACCUGAUGAAUCAGCAUCGGCUAACUCCGUGCCAGCAGCCGCGGUAAUACGGAGGAUGCAAGCGUUAUCCGGAAUUAUUGGGCGUAAAGCGUCCGUAGGUGGUUUAUCAAGUCUGCUGUCAAAGCGUGCGGCUUAACCGCAUAAGGGCAGUGGAAACUGAUGAACUAGAGUGCGAUAGGGGUAACAGGAAUUCCCAGUGUAGCGGUGAAAUGCGUAGAUAUUGGGAAGAACACCAGCGGCGAAAGCGUGUUACUGGGUCUGCACUGACACUGAGGGACGAAAGCUAGGGGAGCGAAAGGGAUUAGAUACCCCUGUAGUCCUAGCCGUAAACGAUGACAACUAGGCGUGGUUCGUAUCGACCCGAGCCGUGCCGUAGCCAACGCGUUAAGUUGUCCGCCUGGGGAGUACGCACGCAAGUGUGAAACUCAAAGGAAUUGACGGGGGCCCGCACAAGCGGUGGAGUAUGUGGUUUAAUUCGAUGCAACGCGAAGAACCUUACCAAGGCUUGACAUCCUCGGAACCCUGAUGAAAGUUAGGGGUGCCUUCGGGAGCCGAGAGACAGGUGGUGCAUGGCUGUCGUCAGCUCGUGUCGUGAGAUGUUGGGUUAAGUCCCGCAACGAGCGCAACCCACGUUUUUAGUUGCCAGCAUUUAGUUGGGCACUCUAGAGAGACUGCCGGUGACAAACCGGAGGAAGGUGUGGAUGACGUCAAGUCAGCAUGCCCCAUACGCCUUGGGCUACACACGUACUACAAUGCGUCGGACAAAGAGCAGCCAGCCAGCGAUGGUGAGCCAAUCUCAUAAACCGGCGCUCAGUUCAGAUUGCAGGCUGCAACUCGCCUGCAUGAAGGCGGAAUCGCUAGUAAUCGCAGGUCAGCAUACUGCGGUGAAUACGUUCCCGGGCCUUGUACACACCGCCCGUCACACCAUGGGAGUUGGUCACGCCCGAAGUCGUUACUCUAACUGCUUGCAGAGGAGGACGCCGAAGGUGGGGCUGAUGACUGGGGUGAAGUCGUAACAAGGUAGCCGUACCGGAAGGUGUGGCUGGAUCACCUCCUUA